UAUCUUAAGGUGUUUAGCAUACAAAAUUUUGAUUUUUGUGGGUGUAGUAAGAUUU
rnacentral:tRNA from 1 species